CUUUCACCCUGAGUCAAAUGGAGAGCCAUUGGAGGUUUUUGAGCAAACAUCCAACUUAUAGCAGACUCAUUCUGGCUGCUGUGUUGAAAAUAAAAUGAGGCAGAGCUGGAGCCAAAGCAGGAAAAUCUGGGAGGAGGCUAUUUUAACCAUCCACGCGAGAGAUGAUGCUGGUCUGCUUGAGUUUCCUGGAGGUCCACUCCAGACCCUAUUUGCCUGGAUAUCACCAGCAGAGGCUGCAGAACAGCAAAGAUUGCUGCUUGCUCCUUCCUGUGGAAGCUUCAUCCCAGAGGGGCACCCACCUGAUGCCAGCCAGAGCUCUCCUGUAUGAGAAACUUCUUUAAAUGAUACUUACAGACCUGCAAUUCCUUAUCUGCAGUUAUGAAAUCCAUAAACAAAAAGCUUGAAAACCAACAAUUUUCCAACGGACAUGAGGUUAUUUAACUUAUUCCACAUUCUACCUAGUACAAAUAUUCACAUGUCUCACUAUGGAAAUAUUAAUCUUUAAUUCUUGGGUAUUGUUCAUACCUUCAUAGUGGUGCUACAUAACAUAUAGUACAUGUACAUUAUUAUCUUUGUGACAUUCAGAAGUGUUCCAAAUUUCCAAAUGCAUCUAGUCCAAUGGUUUAAGAUAAGGAUAUUGUAAAACUUUAUUAUUUGAAGGUGCAUUUGAAAAGGUCUAACUAGUAUACUAACCCUGCGAUUUCACAAAUAUUGCUUAAGAUGAGGUUAAAUCUAUUUAAGUAAACUGUGUGCUGAGUUAUCAAAAAAAAAAAUUUAAGUAAAUUAUAAGGUGGGUCACAGCCUAAACUGGAAAAGUGGCACAGGAAUAACUAAAGUUUAAGAAACAUCCUUCUAGCAUGUUCAAAAAGAUUUCAACAUGUCCAUACAAAGGGCCCAGUCACCUACAUAAGACAGAGGGAGAAGGCAAUGACUUCAUUGCAUUUUUCCCAGCACCAAACAUGACCUUGCAGAGGGUAUCAUUAAACAAAGGCUUGCUGAAUUGAAUUGAAUCUCCAACAUCCUGCAUCCUUUGACCUCUGUUAUACACCAUUCCUGAAAAGGAAAAAUGAACUUUUCAAAAAAAUAAAGUUUAAGACCUUUGGGAA
rnacentral:lncRNA from 1 species